CACCCACAGUAGCACCGUUUGCUCAGCUGAGCUAGGACGAUGUCGCCGGCGGCGUUGUUGCUGCUGGCGCCCGUGGCGGCGGCGGCGGCGCCGUGCUCGUGGAGGGCGAGGCUUCGGCGCCGCCGUGCCGUGAGGUGCGCGGCGACGACGACGCCGGCGCCGAUGGGGGAGAAGACGGAGUACCGGGACGGGCCGCUGGAGCGCGCCUUCAUGGGGCUGUUCGCGCGCAAGAUGGAGAAGCACGCCGGCUCCGGCGGGAAGGCGGGGAGGAAGAGCGAGAGGGCGGUGUGGGAGUGGGACUACGAGAGCUUCGUGGACGUGUCGCGGCGGGUCAUGGUGGGCCGGACCCGCGCGCAGCAGCAGGCGGCCGUCCGCGAGGUGCUCCUCUCCAUGCUGCCCCCCGGCGCGCCGGAGCAGUUCAGGAAGCUCUUCCCGCCCACGCGCUGGGCCUGCGAGUUCAACGCCGCCCUCACCGUCCCCUUCUUCCACUGGCUCGUCGGCCCUUCCCAAGUUAUAGAGGUUGAGGUCAAUGGAGUGAAGCAAAAGAGUGGAGUGCUCAUAAAGAAAUGCAGGUACUUGGAGAACAGCGGCUGUGUCGGGAUGUGCGUCAACAUGUGUAAAAUUCCCACGCAGAGCUUCUUCACCGAUGAGUUUGGACUCCCCCUCACCAUGAAUCCAAAUUUUGAAGACAUGAGUUGUGAAAUGAUAUAUGGGCAAGUGCCACCACCCUUGGAAGAAGACCCAGCAUCACAGCAACCUUGCUAUGCCAAUCUAUGUUCCAUAUCAACGCCUUCGGCACCAGUUUGUCCCAAACUUCAGACGUAGAAAAAGCACACUGCUUUGCUGAGUUCAGGUCUUGAUCGUUUCAGUUUCUGAUGGACACAUUCGCAUCACAGCUCAUAGCCCAUAGUAGUAGCUAGACCAACGACCGUUCAAGUUCUACCAGUCUUAUCAUUUGGUAUCACAGAAUUCAGUGGCUUCCUUGUCUGCGAACUUUUAGUCAGAUAUAGUUGCCACAAUAACCCUUAUUCUGGAUGUAAAAAUGUAGUUUGUGUAUACAAAAGUUGCUGUGCCCCUCCAGUACAUGCAUGUAAAGAUUCAUCAUGCUCUUCAAAAUGCAAUACAAAUAACCAAAUGGAAUUUUUUACGGUACACCAAGUUAUUAUGAACCAUCCAUUAUCUUUUG